GCAUAAUCAUUAGUCUUUUAAUUGGAGGCUGGUAUGAAUGGUUGGAUGAGGUACAAGCUGUGUCAUAAAAAUUAACUUUUGAAUUUACCUUUUUAGUCAAAAGGCUAAAAUGUAAUUAAAAGACGAGAAGACCCUAUAGAGCUUUAUAUAAUUUAUAUUUAGAUUAUUAAGAUUUUUUAAAUCUAAUUAUUUUAUUAUAUUUUGUUGGGGUGACAAUAAAAUUUAUAAAACUUUUAUUUUUAUUUACCAUUAAUUUAUGUUUAAAUGAUCCAGUUUUAUUGAUUAUAAAUUUAAGUUACCUUAGGGAUAACAGCGUAAUUUUUUUUGAGAGUUCUUAUCGA
rnacentral:rRNA from 2 species